AUCGAGCAGCCUGCCCCCUCAGCUGCCGACGACAAUUCUGGCAGGAAAGGUUCUUCCACUGGCUGCCAGUGUGUAAACAACCCACCAUAUGCUCCCGUGGGUGUUCCAUUACGACUGAUAUACAACCUCUCCAUAUUGCCGCAGUGUAUGAGCCUCUUUGGGAGAUUUACAGUAUGUCAAGCAUCACGAAACUGCCUCCAGCAGUCGAUCAAAUUGGUGAACAUGGGGGUAUUUGAGGAAAACAACAUGGGCAUUCAAGACCGAGACAGAGGUCGAGUUGGAGAACGCCUGCGGGGCAGCAACUGAACCUAGUUGAGAAAAAUCCCUGGAAAAACACCAACGAUCUAAGUGCUACCUUCACGAAGGAAGCAACGCGACUGGGUUGAACAACUCCACAGAUGUUGAACCUGGUGAGCCGGCGCUGUGUAAAAAAAGGCCAGCCCACAUUAAGCAACAUUUAAAGUGAAUCUUUCACAUGUUCGAUUCCCCAAGCCAUUAGGCCUCCUACUAAGACUUCUCCAAAUGCCUCGAACGGAUCUGUAGCAGAUUUACAAAAAGAAAAAACACAUCAGCAGUAGCAGCCCUCGCUCGGUGUCUCGGCAUUUAACAUCCUGAGAGACAUUACGCGUUGGCAUCCUCAGUGAUACUUCACCUGUGCACGCGUCGUUGCGGGGGACUGGGACAGAAAUGGCGCUAUAGUGGGCCGUGGUGGGCUGCCGGAGGAGCAGAACUAUUCUACUCCACUAAUGUUUCCGUUAUCCGCGCCUCACAACUACACGGCGGGGGACCCGGCGCGGCGCAUUCAGCUGUUUGUUAUUAAAAAGGUCCGCGUGAUGGUCUUACCUUUAAAGCUUUAAAUCAGGUUCACCGCAGGGCUCCUUGUCCCAGGGGGGUUGUUUAGUCAGAAAACACAGGUAGAAAGGCGUGAACCCCGUAAAAAAAA